rnacentral:lncRNA from 1 species
UGUAAGUCGUCUGAGAUUCUGUGAUAGGAAAACUCCUCCAUCGCCUCCAGAUUCUCAGUAGUCUGUUACACUCACCAAAACCUUAAGGAUUAUGAAGUCACACUGAAUUCCCAGAACAUCAGACCCACCCAUCUCCAAAUAUGACAACAAAAACACAUUCCAGAGCCAAAUAUAAACACAUUUUUAAUUAUCUGCGCCACUGCUCCCUCCCAUUAGUGUGGGAAAUCAAGAAUCUUGAGCCCUUCAGGGGCUGAGGUUGAAUCUGGUACAACAUCUCUGCCUGUAUCUGGUGCCCAGCCUAGAAGCUGGUGUAGAUGAGGGGCCAGGAAAGGGAUGGAGGAUCCUGCAGCAUGGCCUGGGAAUUCAGGACUUCAACGACAAUGAAGAAGAAAUACUGCCAAGAGCUGAGGUACCACUGGCAUCACUUGGGCCUGUGCCAUUCUGCCCACAUCCCCUUGGAAGUACAGAAUGGAGUACAGAAUCCCCCUCCUAUCUGGACUAGGCAGGGAGUUGAGGUGUGAUGAGGCCUUGCCAGCCGCUCUUCAUGGUGGGAAUACAUUCAAAUCCAGCCUCACCUGGAUAUCCCCCAGGAAUUGUGAGCCCACCAGUACCCAGCACCAUCUGCCUUCCUCUGGCUUAUCAGCCUUUUAGUGAUGAAAGGGGGACCAGCCCAUGACGAGGGAUGGUUGCCAUCUGAAAUGGUCAUCUUAGCAGAAACCAUGAAACAAACCUUCAUUUACAUGGACAAUAAUGCUAACAACAUUUAGAAAAAGGUUUGGAAUGUUGCCCCAGACUCCCUCAAAUCAACAAAAUAUGGAAUCUAGCAGUGACCCUUAUGAAAUACACAGGCCUGAAGGUAGAUUGGUUCCUACGGACAAGAAAAUAAUAUUUCUUUUUCAUUUCCAGCCUAGAAAAUUUGGCCAGCAUCCCAGCUGGCCACAGUACACAGAAGUCAGUUCAAAUAGAGAUUCCUGCCUCCCCUUGUUUGCAAGAGUUACUUGUAUAAAAACAGUCAACAAACGAAUCAGCCAGAUGAGCUUUCCUUCCUUUAUUCAGUCAGACAGUGUUUUAUGUCGGGAAUCCAUGUAGAAACAAAUUCAUGUGCUAGGUGCUGAUGAGAAACCUGAAUUUGCUGGUCUGGUUAUAUAAACUGUGCUGAGAUAGGCUGAAGGGAGAAGGCCCAGUGGAGAGCCAACCUGCAGUCGACUCUCUUCUGCACAUCAGCAAUAAGACUUGCAGCCUGGUGGCCAGUAUGGACCGUCCAUUCCUCUUUCUACGGCAGCUAAUAUUCAUCAAGGUCGUUGAUGUGCCAGGCAUUGUGCAAAGUUCUUUGCACGUACUGCCUCAUUUUGUCUCACAGCAGCCUUACGAAGUGGGCUAUUCUCUAAGGCUCAUCUCUAAGGCUCGGAAACAGAGAUAAUGCAUCUGAAGUCAUGAAGCUGGUAAGUCCGGAAGCCAAGAUUGGGGGAAGAUUCUCCAAGAUUGGGGAAGCCACGAUUUGGGUUUGCUUUUGUUUCUUUGAGACAGUCUCAUUCUGUCACCCAGGCUGGGGUGCAGUGGCACAAUCUUGGCUCAGUGCAACCUCUGCCUCCCAGGCUCAAGCGAUCCUCCUGCCUCAGCCUCCCAAGUAGCUGGGACCACAGGGGCAUGCCACCACACCCAGAUCAUUUUUUUAUUUUUUUGUACAGAUGGGGUUUCACCAUGUUGCCCAGGCUAAUCUUGAACUCUUGGGCUCAAAUGAUCCACCCACUUGGGCCUCACAAACUGCUGAGAUUACAGGUGUGAACCACCUUUCAAAUUUGAUGAAAACUAAAUCCACAGAUCCAAAGCUCAAUGAACUGCCUCCAAAAGCAUAAAUGUAAAGAAAACCCAAGCUAUGUCACAUGAUAAUACAAUCACUAAAAAUCAGUGAUGAAGAGAAAAUACUAAAAGCAACCAGGGAAAGGGGAC